UCUGCAACUCGACUACAUGAAGCUGGAAUCGCUAGUAAUCGCAGAUCAGAAUGCUGCGGUGAAUACGUUCCGGGUCUUGUACACACCGCCCGUCACACCAUGGGAGGUCGGGAACGCCCGAAGUCGGUGCCCCAACCGCAAGGAGGGAGCCGCCGAAGGCAGGCCCGGCGACUGGGGUGAAGUCGUAACAAGGUAUC
rnacentral:rRNA from 1 species